UACGUAGGGUGCAAGCGUUUGUCCGGAAUUAUUGGGCGUAAAGGGCUCGUAGGCGGUCCAUCACGUCGGGAGUGAAAAGCUGGGGCUUAACCCCAGUCCUGCUUCCGAUACGGGUGGACUAGAGGUAGGUAGGGGAGAACGGAAUUCCUGGUGUAGCGGUGAAAUGCGCAGAUAUCAGGAGGAACACCGGUGGCGAAGGCGGUUCUCUGGGCCUUACCUGACGCUGAGGAGCGAAAGCGUGGGGAGCAAACAGG
rnacentral:rRNA from 1 species